GCCAGCAGCCAUAUCACCCUGCAGCUCACAACUGGCAGCCCACUGAAGCUCAGCAGGCGUGAGCCUGGUCAGUACCUGGAUGGGAGAGCUCCUGGGAACAACUAAGAUUGCUGCUGGAA
ensembl:rRNA 5S_rRNA 5S ribosomal RNA